UCCACUCCUCUCAAUUCACCGUGUGUGUGUCUUUACCUCCGCCAACUACUCUUUAUAUAACAUCUUCUCUAUUGUUAUUUUGAAUAUAUUUGAUCUUGUAGGUUUUUGGUUUGAAUUCGACUCACACCGUCGGCCACCACCAUCGCUUCCAGAUUUGCUUCUUUCCCAUGCUCUGUCAUCUUUGUCACAUACCACCGCCUUCACCACCAUCACACCUGGAUAAUCAUCAACGUGUUUUCAAAUCAUGAAUCUAUUUAGGGAUAUGGAUCUGAAUUCGUGAAGCAAGACAUUGUAAGAAGGUUUGCAGGUUGCUCUAAAAUUCAUAAAACAAGAUCAUCACAUGGGUACUUUUGAGUCUUUUUCCAUCUUUUUAUUUCCUUUGCACCCUUUUGCCAAUUCUAUGAUGUUGUUGAUUCUUGAAAAGAAAUGACCAUUUUUGAUCAUCUUGAAGAGCUUCGAGAGAGAAUCUUUGUGUCAGUUUUAGCAGUGGGGGCUGCUAUUUUAGGAUGCUUUGUUUUAUGAACAAGAAUUAUCAAUUAUUUUCCAGCAAAAUGUAUACUUUCUUAUCUUUGACAAGAGAAAGCAACACUAACAUGUCUUAAAGGGGUUGGGAUAGAAAGAAGUGAGAUAUAUAGCAAAGGAAUGCAAUCUUGGAGUUGGUGAGGGUGGUAAAGGUGCAAGAGCCCAGAAAGUAAAUUAUAAUCAUAAAAUGGGGAGUUUGGACUUUCGGUUUAAUAUAUAUAUUUCAAUGGCAUCCUACUUUUCCCUUUAACGAAAAGUAAUAGCAUCUUACUUUAGUAUCUGAUUUUAGACUAUAGAUUGAAUGGAAUUAAAAUCCAUUUAAUGGUAUAUUAUUUUGGAUUAAAUGGAAUCAAAAUAACAUCAUCCAAAUUUUUUGAGAAAUAAACUUUUAAUGGCUUCCUACUUUUCCAUUUUAAUAGAUUCUUAUUGUUCCAUUUACAAUGCACUUUGGCUUCUUCCUGUUACAUCAUCAUACAUCUGAAAUGUCCAAUGUUGUAACAGAAAUUAUAAAGAGGUAAUUUUUAUUUUCCUUAUAAAGAUAGAUGUAAUUGAAAUUAUAAAGAGGUAACUGUUUAUUUUCCUUAUAAAGAUAAAUGUAACUGGUUAUGUAACCCGAGGCUCAAAUGAAAGCCACGAAAGAGAAACCGAUUGAAUCAGAAUGUAAGUGUUGAUCGACUGGGAGUUUUCUAUAAUCAAAGAUGCUUAGAGGUCAUAGUAUAACCAUUGAACUUGCGUAUAUUGUUAUUUUUGGUUAAAAGAGCAAGUACAUUCCCAUUAGAAGUUACACAUUAUAACUUUUUAAUAUGACAACAUUAAUUUUUUUAAUCUUUAUUGGUGAUAAGCAUUGGAAGCUACAUUCACUAAACAA